GUGGGUGGCAAGCGUUGUCCGGAAUUAUUGGGCGUAAAGCGCGCGCAGGCGGUUCUUUAAGUCUGAUGUGAAAGCCCACGGCUCAACCGUGGAGGGUCAUUGGAAACUGGAGAACUUGAGUACAGAAGAGGAAAGCGGAAUUCCACGUGUAGCGGUGAAAUGCGUAGAGAUGUGGAGGAACACCAGUGGCGAAGGCGGCUUUCUGGUCUGUAACUGACGCUGAGGCGCGAAAGCGUGGGGAGCAAACAGGAUUAGAUACCCUGGUAGUCCACGCCGUAAACGAUGAGUGCUAAGUGUUAGGGGGUUUCCGCCCCCCUUAGUGCUGCAGCUAACGCAUUAAGCACUCCGCCUGGGAGUACGGCCGCAAGGCUG
rnacentral:rRNA from 1 species